GAUGAAGAACGUAGCGAAAUGCGAUAAGUAAUGUGAAUUGCAGAAUUCAGUGAAUCAUCGAAUCUUUGAACGCACAUUGCGCCCGCCAGUAUUCUGGCGGGCAUGCCUGUCUGAGCAUCAUUUCAACCCUCAUGCCCCUAGGGCGUGGUGUUGGGGAUCGGCCAAAGCCCGCGAGGGACGGCCGGCCCCUAAAUCUAGUGGCGGACCCGUCGUGGCCUCCUCUGCGAAGUAGUGAUAUUCCGCAUCGGAGAGCGAUGAGCCCCUGCCGUUAAACCCCCAACUUUCCAAGGUUGACCUCAGAUCAGGUAGGAAUACCCGCUGAACUUAAGCAUAUCAAUAAGCGGAGGA
rnacentral:misc_RNA from 1 species